ensembl:misc_RNA Metazoa_SRP Metazoan signal recognition particle RNA
GCCGGGCGCAGUGGCGCGUGCCUGUAGUCCCGGCUACUCGGGAGGCUGAGGUGGGAGGAUUGCUUGAGCCCAGGACUUCUGGGCUGCAGUGCACUAUGCCGAUUGGGUGUCCGCACUAAGUUCGGCAUCAAUAUGGUGACCUCCCGGGAGCGGGGUACCACCAGGUUGCCUAAGGAGGGGUAAACCGGCCCAGGUCGGAAACGGAGCAGGUUAAAACUCCCCUGCUGAUCAGUACUGGGAUGAGCCUGUGAAUAGCCACUGCACUCCAGCCUGAGCAACAUAGCGAGACCCCGUCUCU